AGGGCGGAGCCAGAGAGCAGCGAUUGGUCAGACCGUAGAUAAUAUAGAAGACAGCGCGCAAGCGUAUCUAGUAUAUGUAUAUCUAUGGUCGGCACGUCUGGUGGCAUCUCUGGCUGCUGUUGAUCUUGUUUUUGGAGUAAAACACGGUGGAAGCUGAAUUAGUGAGGAUGACUCCUGCUCCUGUCAUCUCUAAGCUCCUCACACAUCUUUACCUGCACAUGAGGAAAAUCACUCCUGUAGAAUGCAGUGGUUCAUCAGAACCUCUGGGGAUGUCCUGUGGAUUCUGUGGAUCCUGUGGGUUGCAGGGUGGAUCCUACCUAGACCAGGCUGAUCCUGGACCAUCCCACAGAUGCUCAAUCAGAUCUGGAUGUGGGGAGUGUGGAACCCAGAUGUUCAGAGGGAGAUGAUGCCACAUCUGGUCCAGCUGAUGGAAGGUCUUGAAGUUCUCUGACUGGCCUCGACUGAAGAUGGUCGUCUCACUGGAUUUAAGGUUCAGAUGCUCAGUAACAAACUCCACCAAUGAGCCAACAGGGAAGCUUUAGGUUUAUUAAAUGUUGCUAUGAAGGUUUCGCUGUUUUUCUUUGUGAAUGCAAUGUGCUCCAGCUGAAAGUUGAAUUAGAACUUAGAAGUAAAUCCUUCCAUCUGAAAGGAUUUAGUUGCAUUAAUAACCUCAUAACAUUCUAAUUUUUAUUCCAGUCUUAGUUGGAAAUAGAAUCUCUGUAUUGAUUCAGGUAAAAACUGAACUUCACAGCAUGUUGAAGCAAAACAACCAGAUGAAAACUGUGAUGGUGUUGGAUUGUCAGACCGUAAUGUUGCAGCUCAAAGCAGCUUUUCUAGCUCAGUUCAUUGUGACAUUCAGCUAUGAAUCAACACAGCAGAUGGUGAUCCAUGCUGUGGAAGUCUCACAUCUCCUGAUUUAAUGGAGCUGCUUUGCACUUUUUACACUGUUUAUUCACCAACACUUUAUUUAAUAAAAGUCCCAUCUAGUUUUUAUGAGGAAAGUGAUGUUUUAAUUUCUCUGUGAAUAACUGCAGUCUAAUGCAACAGCUGGAGUUGUAACAUCUGUCCUGAUAUUGAUCAUGAAGUAUUGAUCAGAAUACUUAUGGUUAGCAGUCAUCCCUGAAGUUUUACAUUAAAAUCUUUACUUGUGUUGUGAACUUUGGUAAGAAGCAGAAACGUUAGUGUUGCCAUGGAUACAUGAGUGUUAAAUUCUGUCCAUGUUUCCAUUUUGGGAAAUUCAGUCCAGUUCCAGAAUGUGGAGGAAUUUAGUCUCACAAUCACAGACAAUAAAUAUUAUCUGAAAGUCGGGUUAUUGUUGUUUAUCAGCACAAUACAAAAAGAUUAGUGUUAGAAAUAUUCCAGUUAAGACUCUAGAAUAUCAUGAUUUAUGUAAAUUUACCUCAAUAAUAUGAAUGUUCAGGUUAAGAUUGUACAGUGAUAUUUAUUAUGUAAGUUUAGCUGAUUAAAGUUUAUGACUGCACUAAAACAUUAUUUAAAUUGACAUCAUUAUUAUAAUAUUUAGGGUCAGACCCUACAGUAUUGAGAUUAAGAAAUCAAAUAUUCUAUAAAAUGUAAAUACACUGAACUCAUUUGGAUAUAUUUAAGUGAGACUCUACAAUAUUAUUUGACACAAAUCUAUCUAAAUCAAAAUUUUAAUAAUUUUCACGCCAAACAUUUACUGGACUGAUUUAAACAUUAAAAUCACUCCUUUCUAAUCCUCUGCUGUACGUUCAAACCUGAGGCCUUAAAUAGAAACACACAAGUAUCUGAUUGAAGGAACUUCUGCAGAGUCCUGGUUCCAGAACAUGAUGAUAGAAUUAUAGACAAACUUUAACAAAAGCUGCCUGAGAGUUUAUAGGUUUUUAUGUUGGAUUUCUUCAGUAAUUUAAUGAGAGUUAUCAGCAAAAAUCAAGUGUUCAUUUGAUGAACUUCAUUUCCUAAAACAUCCAGAAUUGGAGCUCAUAUCUUUGGCAGCUGUAAAGUUUCUGCUCCUUCAGAGUUCACAACACAAUGAAUUAAUUCCUAAAACACUCUUAAUGCUGGAGAGCGUUUGUGAUGCUGAAGCAGUGACCAGUUUUUCUGUUUCUUCUCUGGAGAUGCACAAUGAGGGACGUCUGCAGAGACUGAGAAAGAGUCUCACCACAUCCUGACAUGAGGAAAAAGACUUUAUUGAAGACUACAAUGAGAAAAACUAUCAGACAGCAGACGGCUGCAUUCAAGGCUACAGGAGGAGUCCUACGAGGACGAGCCGGUCCACCUGAUGGAGGCCAGUCGCUGCGGUUCAAAGCCAACACCGACUACGUGGACUUCUACUGGACCACAUGGAGGCCUUCAAACCGGACCAACAAGUUCAGCGACUCCCCGACUCGUGGGUCUGUGGACGCCGCCGAGCCUCGGUCCAGCCGGCCGCCUGUCUGUGGGUGUUUGAGUGCUGAGAGGUUUGUGGAUGCAUGUGAACGUUCUGUGUUGAAACAGCAGCUUUGGACUCAGUAACGCUGGGAAAAACCAAGAGCUCCUUUAUUUGUGACUUCCACUAAAAAACUGAUGAAAAUAAGUUUGCCAGGGUUCUGACUGGUAACAGAUUAUUAAAUAAUGAAAAUAAUCAUUUAAAUAUUCCUUUAAACAACCCUUUUAGGUCUACAUUUCCUUUACACUGACUUCUUGGUAUAUGUACAAGUAUUUUGGGUGGAAUAUACCAUUAAGCCUGAUGUUCAAGGGUUCUUCUGGGAAUAUACCAUUAAACCAACCUUUUAGGUAAAUGUUCCAAGAUGUUGAGUAGAAUGUACCAUCAGAUCAACCUUUUAGGUCUACACUGGAAGAUUUUAGAGUAGAAUAUUACUCCAAACCAUCCUUUAGGUCUACAUUUAAGGUGGAAUACUCCUUUACACCAAGAUUUUUUGGUCUACAUUGAAGGAUUUUAGGUGGAAUGUUCCUUUGAACGAACUUCUUAAGUUUAUGUUAAAGGAUGUUGGGUGGAAUAUACCAUCAGACCAACCUCCAAGGUCUACAGUAGUGAAUUUUAGGUGGAAUAUACCAUUAAACUCACCUUUUAGGUCUACAUUGGAGGGUUUCAGGUGGAAUUUUCUUCCAAACCAUCUUUUAGUCUACAUUUAAGAAUGUUUAGGAUGGUAUAUUCUUCCGAACCAACUUCUCAUGUCUACAUUUCAGGUGGAAUAUUCCUCCAUACUACCUUUUUUGGUCUACAUUGAAGGAUUUUUUCUAAACCACCUUUUUGGGUCCAAAGUUCCCUGUAGUUUUUCCUGAGUCUGAGCAAACACACAAACUCCCUGAGCGUCCCUUGGACCACUGUGAGCAACAUCAGACGUGUGCACUGUGGUCACACCAGCAUCACAUCCAUUCAAGUUACAUGGUUCAUUAAAAGAAUCAAAUUACAGCAUUUACAUUUCUGUUAAAACACUUUGUCAACAGGAGCCAGUUGAAGGCUGCAGUGAUUUUAGUGACACUACAAUGUAUAAGAGUGAAGUUAUUGAAUAUUUGUCUCUCUUUACUGUUGCAGCGGUUUUGCAAAUUGCAGACGGACCCUGUUCACUCCAUAGACACCAAUGUUAUUCCUGUAGCUUGAAAGACAGCUACUUUUGAUAAAACUGGGCUUGUAGCACAUUGUCUGCCUUGCAACAAUGAGAAAGAGGCACCGUUUAUGUUUUGACAACCUAUAUCUAAUGAGUUAUUGAUGCUGGAAGUCCGAAUCUGUGAAUAUCUUUCCAACUUUACUGAACUUGGGGCCACUACCACCUAAGGAGUGAUAUAUUUAAUUUUGAAAAAAGCAUUUAGCCAUACUUAAAGCUUUAAGUGCUUUAUUAAUACGGAACUAAAAAUUUUGUAUUGUUUUAUUAUCACAGGUUCUGUCUGAAAAGAGGUGGCAUCAUUUUAAACAGUGAAAUCAAACUAACAAAAUGUAACGACCAACCAGUGAGCAAUACUGGAUUCUGCAAAAACAUAAACAACUUUUUAAAAAAUCUAAAUCUUAUCUUAACACAGUUAAUGUAUUAACUUAUUUAUGUGUGUAUGCAUGUAUUUAUUGAUUUAUUUAGUACUGUUAACAUAUCAGAGUUCUGAGUGAAUUUUUCUUAAGAUAGGCAAAGGCCAUUUAUUGAUUACAUAUAGGCUGUUAAAUGUUUAUUAAAAACUAAAAAGCAUUUUUAAAAAAACAACUUAGGCAUUUAUUGAGUCACUAAAAUACUGUAGAGUACAGACCACAUCAGCAUGAUUAUAAGCAUCCUCUGGUAAAUUAACAACCAGAUACUGAUGUCUCUCACCAUAUGGACUUCAGGAGAUGACUGGGGGAUGAUAAACUGUGACCUACUGGUUGGAUUCUCUCUGUUCUCAUGUUUCUUACAUGUUUGUCCCCUGACAGCCGGGUCCUAAUGUUUUCUGAGCAACACACCAUACUAUGACGUUUUUACAAUGAUGGUUCUACUAUGGAACCAGUUUGACAUGUUCAGGUGUUCUUUGUGUGAAAACUCAGAGAUUUCAGGGAUCAGAAGGUGGUUUUCAACUUUCUUUGUUAACUUUCUGCUUCAACUUUAAAUUAAAUUUCCUUCACUAACCCAGCCCUCUGGACUUCCAGUAAGCUGUGUUCCUAUUGGCUGUCCAGGUGGCUGCUUGGUGUUAUCAGGAACACCUGAGCAGCUCAGUGUCUUCCUGCUUUAUUUAGCUGCAGACAAACAUUUCCUCUGCUUCUAUUCACCACUGAACCGGGUUUGGCUCCAUUGCUUCAGUUUGUUCUUUAGGCGUUGGCUUGCAGCUUCCAGCAGUAAAAUCAUCUUUAAUGUGUUUCUUGGUGUGUUUUAGGGCUUUGUACUGGAUAGUUGUCUUGGUAAAUGUGGUUCUUUAGCCACAGUUAGCACAUGGUGCUGAUGUUUGCAGUGAUUAGUGGAUUUGGUGCAGCUGAGUUGUGUCUUUAUCUUGGCUGUAGUGAGUCUUUAGAGGUUUCUGGUCAGACACAUUCUGUAUUCCUGUUUGUGAACCAAUGUUGGUUGUCCAGAAGGUAAGAGUUCCUGUCCUGAUUCUCUGUUCUCAGAGGUUCUCUGGUAGGCUGCAGGAGACUUUAGCGUUUGGGUUGUGCUAGUUUGGUUUUUGUAUGGUUUCAUUUGGACGACUAUCUUGAGGCCCCUCCAUGUAGUUUAGUGAGGUUUUCUGCAACAGUUCUACAAAGCAACCUGCAGCAGAAGAGACUUUGAGAGUUUUUAGGAAGUUCUGUAGACCAGACUUUAGAGCAGCAGAAACAUUUGUCAGCAGUUUGAGCAGGAGAAGGUGAGCUUCAGAGUAGAAAUGAGACAGAAACCUUCUUGACCCGUGUGGUGAGGUCCUGUACCAAGAGUUUGAGCAGGUUGUGAAGAGUCUGUAGUUCUUUGGUCUGAAAGCACAAGAAGAGUCGACUCAUUAAAGGAGAAAACAGGAGAUAUUGUUGGUUCUUCUGUCGCUCUGCAGUUUCCUUAGACUAAAUAUCAAGUUUAUAUGUUAAAUGAUUUCCCAUGUGAGCCCAAGAAGACUUCAAUAAACUCCCUCCAUCCCCUGGACACAACAUAUUUUAUUACCAUGUUAAAUCUAUUUUUUGAAGUGUUUCUGAGUUUUAAUCAUAGUUUUAGCAUAGUUUUUUUUUCUCUUUGCUUGUUUAGUUUUGUCAUCUGUGUAAAAGGUGCUAAACAAAUAAAGCUGAAUUGAUAAACUGAAUAA